CUCUCUCUCUCUCUCUCUCUCUCUCCCCUUUACAAUGAGCAGCGUCAUCAGCUGGUGCGGCAAGGGACGGAUGGUUUUGACAAUUUUUCGGGACACUGCUUUGACUUUAGCUUCUGCCUUGUAUGUGAAGGAGACAAUAAUGGAAAAGUUUGGCAACAAUGGAGGUUCUGGCUCGUCUGAUAGCAAGCGGGUUUUUGGAAAACGAACAGAGGCUAGCAGUAGUUAGAUGGCUAAAGAGUUGGUAUAUGCACUAAAGUGCAAAUUAUUAUCAGUAGUGCAGACUUUAACUUGAAUCAGAUGUAAUUUCUUUGCUUUUUAGAUUCCCAGCCAAGUUGAGCAGUAAACAGUUUUUUUUAUUUUUUA